CCAAUAGCGUAUAUUAAAGUUGCUGCAGUUAAAAAGCUCGUAGUUGAAUUUCGGGACUAAUAUGUCGGUCGUGCCUCGGUACGUACUGGUAUUUUUGGUUUCUCCCUUCUGACGAACCUUGAUGUCAUUAAUUUGGUGUCUUGGGAAAUCAGGACUGUUACUUUGAAAAAAUUAGAGUGUUUAAAGCAGGCUCACGCUUGAAUACAUUAGCAUGGAAUAAUGAAAUAGGACGUUUGAUUCUAUUUUGUUGGUUUCUAGGAUCGACGUAAUGAUUAAUAGGGGUGGUUGGGGGAAUUAGUAUUCAAUGGUCAGAGGUGAAAUUCUUGGAUUUAUUGAAGACUAACUACUGCGAAAGCAUUUGCAAAGGAUGUUUUCAUUAAUCAAGAACGAAAGUUAGGGGAUCGAAGACGAUCAGAUACCGUCGUAGUCUUAACCAUAAACUAUGCCGACUAGGGAUCGGAUGAUGUUAAUUUUUUAAUGACUCAUUCGGCGCCUUACG
rnacentral:rRNA from 1 species